rnacentral:rRNA from 1 species
UGCCAGCCGCCGCGGUAAUACGGAGGGAGCGAGCGUUGUUCGGAAUUAUUGGGCGUAAAGCGCGUGUAGGCGGUUCGUUAAGUUAGACGUGAAAGCCCCGGGCUUAACCUGGGAACAGCGUUUAAUACUGUAUGACUAGAGACCGAGAGAGGAAAGCGGAAUUCCUAGUGUAGAGGUGAAAUUCGUAGAUAUUAGGAGGAACACCAGAGGCGAAGGCGGCUUUCUGGCUCGGAUCUGACGCUGAGGCGCGAAAGCGUGGGUAGCAAACAGGAUUAGAUA